GCCGGGUACCAUGGCACGUGCCUUUGGUCCCAGCUACUGGGGAUACUGAGGCAGGAGGACUGCUAGAGCCCAGGAGUUCUGAGCUGCAAUGCACUGUGUCUAUCGGGUGUCCGCACUAAGUUUGGCAUCAAUGUGGUGAACUCCUAGGAGCAGGGGACCACCAGGUUGCCUAAGGAGAGGUGAACUGGUCCAGGUUGGAAAUGGAGCAGGUCAAAACUCCUAUGCUGAUCAGCAGUGGGAUCACGCCUGCGAAUAGCCACUGUACUCCAGCCUGGGCAACACAGUGAGACUCUGCCUCUA
ensembl:misc_RNA Metazoa_SRP Metazoan signal recognition particle RNA